rnacentral:ncRNA from 1 species
UUAAGUAGAGAUAAAAACACAGUUUUGGUUGGUAGUCCAAACGCAUUUAUUAUUUAAAUGUCAGUAACCUGCCCUCGUGGGUUGUCCGUUCUCUUUAAAAUAUAA